UCUUUCCAUCUUUCUGUGACCUGUUCUGUCGCAUGAGCCUGGAAUGACUUCACAGGUGGCGACUCAGGAUCUGGAUUCUGUAGUUUCUUCUUAAUUUUGUGCACAAUAUGUGGAAGUACAGACAGUGUGACAUAUUGUUGUCCACUCAUAAACACUGUGGCUGAGUUAAAGGGCUCAAGGACCUGAUUCAGCUCCUCAGUCAGGCUCCACUGGUCAGUCUUGAGAUCCAGGUAGUGUUUCUCUCUGGGUAACUGCUGGGUCAGACAGUGUAGCAGUCACUGGCCAUCUCUGUUCUUGCAGCGUGGACAACAUGGCAUAGGUGCUGUUCCAGGGUUUGUGUGCAGACAUCCUGCAGCAGCAUGUUCUCCUUGGCACCCAUUUACUUCUGGUUGACCCUCAACUUUGUGCAUGCCAGUUCACUCUUCUUGAAGUGUUCAACAAAGCUUCUCGCAGCAGCCACACACUUGGAGAUCGCCUGUUGGCUUUUCAGAGUUUUUCACGACCAAGGUUAGGGUGUGUCCUGCACAUUUCACCGAUGCCCAUCCAUGCUUUUCAUGCAAAAUCUUUGCUGCUGUUGCGACAUUAGCACCAUCGUCAUGGACGAUGGCCUUGAUUUUCUCCGGUAUAAUGUUGAAUUUGGCAAUGACCUCCUCAAUCCAUUCUGCAAUAUUUGCAGCUUUGUGUCUCUCUUCCAGGGGCAUCAUUGUCAGGCAGCGAGACACCAUUUUCCAAUUCUUUAGAUAGUGGCAAGUCACCCCCCAUAUAAGCCUCUGUUGCAACACUCGUCCAGAUAUCAGUUGUGAGUGCCACGCUGUCAGUCUCUUGCAGGGCUUUCUUCAUCUUGACUUUUGACAUCUUCAUACUUUUUGUCCAACUGUUUUAUGAAGAAGGCUCUUGAUGCACUGUAAACCCGAACAGCACUACAAACUCAUAAGUAUUACGGACAAUUAAAUCAAAGUCGGUAAAAAGUUCACCCACCACUGAAGCAUUAAGUAUUCUUCUAUAUUUUUUAACGAAUUAUGUCGUAUUGGUCAGUAUGUCUGAGUGAACACAGUCAUUUAACUUGUAACAUCUAAGUUAACAGAUGUACGUGAGGGGACGUGACAUCUGACAUCACUUUGCCUCACCGUUCAGGAAAAUUCAAGAUGGCUGGACUUUAGCGAGCGAUGCGAACUGUUAACAACGCACAUUUUCUUUUUUGCCGUGCUGUUGCAAAAAAUUGUUAUCGUCUACAUUUUGGAUUCUGGAACCCGGACUUCAGGAUUUGAAAGUUUGUCGUGCAAACCGGUAAGUACAAAAGUUCAGAAAAUGUCAGUUAUCUUUUGUCAGACGCUGUGAAUAUAUAUGACAAAGUUACGUGUUACAAUAUUACACACAUUUAUAGCUGGUUUAAACUAAAGCUAACUUAGCAGUUAUCUUUAGUGUCAUUACAUUGCUAUGUUGCUACUUUGUUGCUGUCCUUAACGUUACUUCAGGCGUAGAAAGCGGCGCUCUGUGCGAUUAAAAAUCUGCCGAGGACAUGUCUCAUAGAUUUUGGUGAAAUGUUUUCAUAAUUGCAGUUGCUGCAUAUUUGGAAGUUUAUUUUCUAUUCAAUUUUCUAAUCGUCAUUGCAAAAAAUGAUAUGUGGUGAGGGAGUCUAAGGGAGUUGCCCUUGCUGAUAAGGAACUGACAAAAUAAUACAUGUACUAUAAUCCUUUACGUAUUUUGGCAACUUUACAUUGUUUGUGCUCUCUGUUAUGUGUUAUAGUCCCAUAGAACAAACUGCAUCACAGCAUAUUACCAGUAUCACCAGAUAUCACCGGUUUGUCAUUCUCCCUAGUAAGGUGCAUCAGUGUUGGUGGGUAAAGUAACAUUACUUGUGUACUAAAAACACCAUUUGAUUAUGGCAUUCAUCAUGAUUUGGAAAUUACACUUGUUUAAUCUGUCCCUGCAGUAUUUGUGUGACUUCUUCUACGGCAGUUCAAGGAAGUCCACAGGUGAGGGAAUUCUUGGAGAACUGGUCGGCCUUAUGAAUACAGUCACAGGAACAACAUGAUGUCAACAUGGGACACACUCUGGCCCUUCAUGCCCUUCCAGUCUAUAUCCGUGAGGGUGACACUGAGUUCUUUAAAACCUGUGAAGGUUAACAUGAGGACACUGCUGACACUCCUUUUGCGCUCCUGUCUGUGGUCCCUGACACUAUUGGUGCCAUCCACUUUAGCCCUGAUUGUGCAGCAUUUCUAUUGUGUUUUAGGAUGAAGUUGUUGUGAGUGAGCUUCCCAGGUUGGCUGAUGCAUGUGUACUGUUGUUUGGUUUAAUUUAUGCAUUGCAUUUAGAUUACCCAAAGAAACUCACUCACACAUUCACAUUUAUUCAGAAACUGCCCAUGCGUCUUGAUGAUAACAAACCAUUGAAACUGUGCCUACUGACCCUGAAAAAUGACUUGUUGAAAGAGUAAACAAGCUGAGAAAUUUGAGUGCAGGCACUCAUAAAUGUGAUCCAUAUCCAGUAUUGUUUUCUUAACAAGCACAGGUACUUUAACAACCAUGGUGUAUUGUAGGAUGUUCUUAAGACACAGAUAAAGUGUGUUCAGAUGUUAAAAGCACUUCUGUCCACGCAAAUGCCCAGUUGGCUUCUUAUAAGCUUAAAAUGAGAGGUAUAUAUUUUGUUCUCUUUAUUUUGUUAUAUUGCCUCAUCUACCUCACUCAUCAGUAUGCCCUGAUAUUUUAUAGCAUUCUGUUUUAUUUGGUAUAUUUUAGAUAUUUUUGUUGCUAUUUUUAUAAGAUAUGCAUGGGCAUGUGCAGAGAAGGGAAAGUUUGUUCAUCACCAAGGAUUCCAAAUUCAGGUUGCUAAAAUGUAUUUAAAAGAGCUGUUCAGAGUUCGACUCCAGGUGUUGCACUUUUAUGUCAUGUGACAUUUCAUGCUUUUAUUAAGCCCGAUAUAUUGUUCUUCAAAGGAAAAAAAAAUAAAAAUGUUAAUGCCUUUUUAAAAGGAAUGCUGUUUCAUACUUUAAUAAAACAAACUCGAAUACUGA